rnacentral:rRNA from 1 species
UACGUAGGGUGCGAGCGUUCAUCGGAAUUACUGGGCGUAAAGGGCGCGUAGGCGGCGCGAGAAGUCGGGUGUGAAAGCCCCGGGCUCAACCUGGGAAUUGCAUUCGAGACUGCAUUGCUGGAGUACGGAAGAGGAAGGCGGAAUUCCCGGUGUAGCGGUGAAAUGCGUAGAUAUCGGGAGGAACAUCAGUGGCGAAGGCGGCCUUCUGGUCCAGUACUGACACUCAAGUGCGAAAGCGUGGGGAGCAAACAGG